CCAACUUGAGUAGUCAUAACAUAACUACAUUUCACGACAGUUUGUGAAAUAACGGUGAGGUGAACUGAAAUCGUACCCUUUCAACAGUAUUCAAGUCUCUGCCGAAAUUUACACAAAUACAAUAUUACAUAUGACAAUAUCUGUAAAUAGAAAUGAUUAAAUUGUGUCUUAACCAGUGAUGAACGUGAUAUCCCACUCCGCAACCUUCAUGGAGUCAAUUUUGCCUUACGCAGGUAUCCCGCGCAAUAUAUUUUGCGUGGUAAAUUUAAACAUCGGUUGUAAGGCUAGGUUAUUGAACUGUCAGAUGCGAAAAUGCUGUUAUGUUGAUUGAGGUUAUGUUGUAGUAUUGGAAUUGCACAUUUAAGUUAGGUGUGCGAAUUGUUGGUUUUGUUAUUGACUGAUUUAAAUUGAUUUAACAAAACCUAAACAUAACACGUUUAUUAAUAUUUCUGUGUCACUUCAACGUUAAAUGUUGAUCGGAUGGGUUGAAUUAGUGAUUUACUUUUUGUGAACGAAUUAACGAAUAUCGCGUAUUAAAAGUGACUAAGGGCGUUGCAGCAGUCGUGCAAAACUAUUACAAUUUUCUUUUCUUUUGUAGAUUAGUGCCUAGUGCCACUUUUUUUAUAUUUCGUUUUGAUGAUUUAGGUUAGGUAAGGUUAUCUUUGUUUUCUUACAUAUUAGCGCAGUGAUAUGUGUGUGCUAUGUUGUUUAUUAUAAAAUUAAACUGUUUACAUACAGGUCAAAUUUAUGGGCAAGAAUAGUUAAACUAGAAUCAGUCAUGAAUAAUUCUGCAACAGAACGUUACAGAAGGUAUCGGAUUUGCAUUCGUCACUUUGAACUAAAAAUGUAUCCACAUCAGCUGUUGUGCCACCGACCGAAAGCAACAGCCUAUCCAACUCUUCAUGUUUCAGGUGAAACAAUAAGGACUACCAAACAAACAGUUGUGACAAACGAACCAAGACUUUCCACCUCAAAAAAUAUUGACAUUUAUGAAUCGUCACAUUUUACUUCUGGCAGUGUUUACUCUGAUUAAGCAACACCACUAAGGCCGUCCACAACGAUAAGUACCUAUUUACUCUUUCACUUUAUUUUUGUUGGAAUUAACAUAAUGUAUUAAUCAUUUUUAGGUUAUGAAAUUUGUUUAGAUUAUUUUCAGCAUUGUGAAGGAACAAACAAUGUUGACGAUGGAGAACAUUUUUAAUAAUAUUAGACAGCGGAACGAUGAGUGCUUAUAAUUUUGACUACCUAUUUGUUUCCAGAGAAAAACAUUUUUACUCCUUUAACUGUAGAAACUGCAGAACAUACAAAUGUAGAAUAUCCUCUACUACAUAUGUGGGUAUUUAUUUUAGAAAUGUUUAUCACCUCAUUCUUGUUCCAGGUGUGUUGAAUAUGGGAAUACUCAGUAUGAAGUGAAUGAAAUGACUGAACAGGUUUUCCAUGUUGCAUGGCAUUUCAAUCGACCAAAUCUAUUUGAAGGAUUAACAAUGCUGUCAUUAGGAUUUUACGAGUAUAUUAAAAACAGGAUAACGUCUGCUGCGAACUUUUUCAGACAGUGGCUUUAGGUUCAAAUGUAGGCUUAAGUUAAAGGAGCUGCUAGCAACUAUUAAUUACGCUCUCCCAAGUGAUAAUUUUCAAAUAGAAUAUUUGCUGUCUUUGUAAGAAUGAGAAUAUUCCAUUGAACAAAAAUUGCCAAUAUGGAACGUUUAAAAUCAACAUGACAUCAGAAAAAGCGAGAUUGGAUAAUAGUUUACGACAUCUGUAGAAGUUGUCAAGUCAAGUUUUUGUUAGACGUCUAUAUUUUUCGUAUAUUAGACUGUGAUAUGUUAAACUGUUGGGCUUUCUUCAAGUCAUUUUUAGUGGUAGGUGUAUUUAUUUGUAUAUUAGUUUUCAGAUAAAGGGAGGCUCUGAUUAAUAUAUGUAGACUUGUCCUGUUGCUUUCCAGUAAGCAUUAGCUAUCCAUCUAUCACGCUCUACGAUCACAUUAUCUGAAAAGUUUUGUGUCGUAUAUUUAUUAUUAGGGCGUAUUUAUUUUUGUCAAUAAAUAAAUGAAAUGUGGUUAUUUUUUACAAAUAAAUUUGAUUAACUACAUGGUA